GAUGAACGCUGGCGGCGUGCCUAAUACAUGCAAGUCGAGCGAACAGACGAGGAGCUUGCUCCUCUGACGUUAGCGGCGGACGGGUGAGUAACACGUGGAUAACCUACCUAUAAGACUGGGAUAACUUCGGGAAACCGGAGCUAAUACCGGAUAAUAUAUUGGACCGCAUGGUUCAAUAGUGAAAGACGGUUUUGCUGUCACUUAUAGAUGGAUCCGCGCCGCAUUAGCUAGUUGGUAAGGUAACGGCUUACCAAGGCAACGAUGCGUAGCCGACCUGAGAGGGUGAUCGGCCACACUGGAACUGAGACACGGUCCAGACUCCUACGGGAGGCAGCAGUAGGGAAUCUUCCGCAAAGGGCGAAAGCCUGACGGAGCAACGCCGCGUGAGUGAUGAAGGUCUUCGGAUCGUAAAACUCUGUUAUUAGGGAAGAACAAAUGUGUAAGUAACUAUGCACGUCUUGACGGUACCUAAUCAGAAAGCCACGGCUAACUACGUG
rnacentral:rRNA from 1 species